GAUGAACGCUGGCGGCGUGCCUAAUACAUGCGAGUCGAGCGAACAGACGAGGAGCUUGCUCCUCUGACGUUAGCGGCGGACGGGUGAGUAACACGUGGAUAACCUACCUAUAAGACUGGGAUAACUUCGGGAAACCGGAGCUAAUACCGGAUAAUAUAUUGAACCGCAUGGUUCAAUAGUGAAAGACGGUUUUGCUGUCACUUAUAGAUGGAUCCGCGCCGCAUUAGCUAGUUGGUAAGGUAACGGCUUACCAAGGCAACGAUGCGUAGCCGACCUGAGAGGGUUAUCGGCCACACUGGAACUGAGACACGGUCCAGACUCCUACGGGAGGCAGCAGUAGGGAAUCUUCCGCAAUGGGCGAAAGCUUGACGGAGCAACGCCGCGUGUGUGAUGAAGGUCUUCGGAUCGUAAAACUCUGUUAUUAGGGAAGAACAAAUGUGUAAGUAACUAUGCACGUCUUGACGGUACCUAAUCAGAAAGCCACGGCUAACUACGUG
rnacentral:rRNA from 1 species